rnacentral:lncRNA from 1 species
AAACAGCCCGCUUGCUUUGGAGUUCAUGCAGCCAAACAAGUUCGCUAGUUGCGAGAUGAAUCUGGAAACCUGUUGUGCUUUUUAGAGGCGUUUCUGACCCCGAGAAACUUCCAAAGAACUUUCCACAGAACUACUGAAAGGUAUCCAUCACAAAGGAACUGAAGUCUCUGAUGUAUGCAAAUCUUUUUGGGCACUGGCUUCACUUACAAUGAAGUACCAUGGAUAAGGUGUUUGUUCUGUAAACUGUUAAGACCAGCUCAACUCAUACAUACCUUGAGGAUGUAAGAAGAUCUUUUCGAAGUGUCUUCUCUUUAUCACCACCCAAUGGUGAGUAUGCAAACCUACAAGACACUGCUGCAUUGUGUUCUCACUACAUAUUAAAACAUACAGCCAUAUACUCUCAAAAAAGUUAGAAAUACAUCUUAGAAUAAUGAACGGGAUCCAGAGGUUUUUUUCAGCUUCAUAAUCCGAAAGAUAUUGCUUACCCAUAGCCAUAUGAGAUCAUAUUAAUUUACUAAGUCAACAAAUGCAAUGAAAGCAGGACCGUUAAACCCAUUCAUGCUGCUGGCACAAGAGAACUGCACGGAAUGCGGUAGAAAGCAGUAACUGUUAGAU